rnacentral:rRNA from 1 species
GGAGUCACGCCAGAAAUCUUACCCGGAGAGACAGCAGAAUGAAGGUCAAGCUGAAGACUUUACCAGACAAGCUGAGAGGUGGUGCAUGGCCGUCGCCAGCUCGUGCCGUGAGAUGUCCUGUUAAGUCAGGUAACGAGCGAGAUCCCUGCCUCUAGUUGCCACCAUUACUCUCAGGAGUAGUGGGGCGAAUUAGCGGGACCGCCGCAGUUAAUGCGGAGGAAGGAGGGGGCCACGGCAGGUCAGUAUGCCCCGAAACUCUGGGGCCACACGCGGGCUGCAAUGGUAGCGACAAUUGGUUUCGAAUCCGAAAGGAUGAGGUAAUCCACAAACGCUACCACAGUUAUGACUGAGGGCUGCAACUCGCCCUCACGAAUAUGGAAUCCCUAGUAACUGCGUGUCAUUAUCGCGCGGUGAAUACGUCCCUGCUCCUUGCACACACCGCCCGUCGUUUCAUUGAAGUGAGCUUUUAGCGAGGUGACGUCUAAUUGGCGUUAUCGAACUUGAGGUUCGUGACAAGGGAAAAGUCGUAACAAGGUGACCGUAGGGGAACCUGCGGUCGGAUCA